AGUUGAUCAAGUAAUUAAUGAACUCGGUUUGGAUAAGUGUCAAAAUACAAUAUUGGGCUCAGAUAUAUUUGAAGGAGGCUGUUCAGGAGGU